rnacentral:rRNA from 1 species
CCACUGCAUUCCCCUAGUAGCGGCGAGCGAGCGGAAGAGCUCAGAUUUAUAAUCUGGCACCUUCGGUGUCCGAGUUGUAAUCUCUAGAAAUGUUUUCCGCGUUGGACCGCACACAAGUCUGUUGGAAUACAGCGGCAUAGUGGUGAGACCCCCGUAUAUGGUGCGGACGCCCAGCGCUUUGUGAUACAUUUUCGAAGAGUCGAGUUGUUUGGGAAUGCAGCUCAAAUUGGGUGGUAAAUUCCAUCUAAAGCUAAAUAUUGGCGAGAGACCGAUAGCGAACAAGUACCGUGAGGGAAAGAUGAAAAGCACUUUGGAAAGAGAGUUAACAGUACGUGAAAUUGUUGGAAGGGAAACGCUUGAAGUCAGACUUGCUUGCCGAGCAAUCGGUUUGCAGGCCAGCAUCAGUUUUCCGGGAUGGAUAAUGGUAGAGAGAAGGUAGCAGUUUCGGCUGUGUUAUAGCUCUCUGCUGGAUACAUCUUGGGGGACUGAGGAACGCAGUGUGCCUUUUGGCGGGGGUUUCGACCUCUUCACACUUAGGAUGCUGGUGGAAUGGCUUUAAACGACCCGUCUUGAC